rnacentral:rRNA from 1 species
GAUGAACGCUGGCGGCGUGCCUAAUACAUGCAAGUCGAGCGAACGGACGAGAAGCUUGCUUCUCUGAUGUUAGCGGCGGACGGGUGAGUAACACGUGGAUAACCUACCUAUAAGACUGGGAUAACUUCGGGAAACCGGAGCUAAUACCGGAUAAUAUUUUGAACCGCAUGGUUCAAAAGUGAAAGACGGUCUUGCUGUCACUUAUAGAUGGAUCCGCGCUGCAUUAGCUAGUUGGUAAGGUAACGGCUUACCAAGGCAACGAUGCAUAGCCGACCUGAGAGGGUGAUCGGCCACACUGGAACUGAGACACGGUCCAGACUCCUACGGGAGGCAGCAGUAGGGAAUCUUCCGCAAUGGGCGAAAGCCUGACGGAGCAACGCCGCGUGAGUGAUGAAGGUCUUCGGAUCGUAAAACUCUGUUAUUAGGGAAGAACAUAUGUGUAAGUAACUGUGCACAUCUUGACGGUACCUAAUCAGAAAGCCACGGCUAACUACGUGCCAGCAGCCGCGGUAAUACGUAAGUGGCAAGCGUUAUCCGGAAUUAUUGGGCGUAAAGCGCGCGUAGGCGGUUUUUUAAGUCUGAUGUGAAAGCCCACGGCUCACCGUGGAGGGUCAUUGGAAACUGGAAAACUUGAGUGCAGAAGAGGAAAGUGGAAUUCCAUGUGUAGCGGUGAAAUGCGCAGAGAUAUGGAGGAACACCAGUGGCGAAGGCGACUUUCUGGUCUGUAACUGACGCUGAUGUGCGAAAGCGUGGGGAUCAAACAGGAUUAGAUACCCUGGUAGUCCACGCCGUAAACGAUGAGUGCUAAGUGUUAGGGGGUUUCCGCCCCUUAGUGCUGCAGCUAACGCAUUAAGCACUCCGCCUGGGGAGUACGACCGCAAGGUUGAAACUCAAAGGAAUUGACGGGGACCCGCACAAGCGGUGGAGCAUGUGGUUUAAUUCGAAGCAACGCGAAGAACCUUACCAAAUCUUGACAUCCUUUGACAACUCUAGAGAUAGAGCCUUCCCCUUCGGGGGACAAAGUGACAGGUGGUGCAUGGUUGUCGUCAGCUCGUGUCGUGAGAUGUUGGGUUAAGUCCCGCAACGAGCGCAACCCUUAAGCUUAGUUGCCAUCAUUAAGUUGGGCACUCUAAGUUGACUGCCGGUGACAAACCGGAGGAAGGUGGGGAUGACGUCAAAUCAUCAUGCCCCUUAUGAUUUGGGCUACACACGUGCUACAAUGGACAAUACAAAGGGCAGCGAAACCGCGAGGUCAAGCAAAUCCCAUAAAGUUGUUCUCAGUUCGGAUUGUAGUCUGCAACUCGACUACAUGAAGCUGGAAUCGCUAGUAAUCGUAGAUCAGCAUGCUACGGUGAAUACGUUCCCGGGUCU